GUAGGGUGCAAGCGUUAUCCGGAAUCAUUGGGCGUAAAGAGCUCGUAGGCGGUUCAGCAAGUCGGCUGUGAAAUCCCGAGGCUUAACCUCGGAACUGCAGUCGAUACUGCUGUGACUAGAGUCCGGUAGAGGAGAAUGGAAUUCCCGGUGUAGCGGUGAAAUGCGCAGAUACCGGGAGGAACACCAGUAGCGAAGGCGGUUCUCUGGGCCGGUACUGACGCUGAGGAGCGAAAGCGUGGGUAGCAAACAGGAUUAGAUACCCUGGUAGUCCACGCCGUAAACGUUGGACACUAGGUGUGGCGUUCCGACCAACGGGUGCCCGUGCCGAAGCUAACGCAUUAAGUGUCCCGCCUGGGGAGUACGGCCGCAAGGCUA
rnacentral:rRNA from 1 species